rnacentral:rRNA from 1 species
GUACUUGUACUGAUUGAGAUUUUAACACGAAGUGAGUGGCGAACGGGUGAGUAACACGUGGGUAACCUGCCCAGAAGUAGGGGAUAACACCUGGAAACAGAUGCUAAUACCGUAUAACAGAGAAAACCGCAUGGUUUUCUUUUAAAAGAUGGCUCUGCUAUCACUUCUGGAUGGACCCGCGGCGUAUUAGCUAGUUGGUGAGGUAAAGGCUCACCAAGGCAGUGAUACGUAGCCGACCUGAGAGGGUAAUCGGCCACAUUGGGACUGAGACACGGCCCAGACUCCUACGGGAGGCAGCAGUAGGGAAUCUUCCACAAUGGACGCAAGUCUGAUGGAGCAACGCCGCGUGAGUGAAGAAGGGUUUCGGCUCGUAAAGCUCUGUUGUUAAAGAAGAACGUGGGUAAGAGUAACUGUUUACCCAGUGACGGUAUUUAACCAGAAAGCCACGGCUAACUACGUGCCAGCAGCCGCGGUAAUACGUAGGUGGCAAGCGUUAUCCGGAUUUAUUGGGCGUAAAGCGAGCGCAGGCGGUCUUUUAAGUCUAAUGUGAAAGCCUUCGGCUCAACCGAAGAAGUGCAUUGGAAACUGGGAGACUUGAGUGCAGAAGAGGACAGUGGAACUCCAUGUGUAGCGGUGAAAUGCGUAGAUAUAUGGAAGAACACCAGUGGCGAAGGCGGCUGUCUGGUCUGCAACUGACGCUGAGGCUCGAAAGCAUGGGUAGCGAACAGGAUUAGAUACCCUGGUAGUCCAUGCCGUAAACGAUGAUUACUAAGUGUUGGAGGGUUUCCGCCCUUCAGUGCUGCAGCUAACGCAUUAAGUAAUCCGCCUGGGGAGUACGACCGCAAGGUUGAAACUCAAAAGAAUUGACGGGGGCCCGCACAAGCGGUGGAGCAUGUGGUUUAAUUCGAAGCUACGCGAAGAACCUUACCAGGUCUUGACAUCUUCUGACAGUCUAAGAGAUUAGAGGUUCCCUUCGGGGACAGAAUGACAGGUGGUGCAUGGUUGUCGUCAGCUCGUGUCGUGAGAUGUUGGGUUAAGUCCCGCAACGAGCGCAACCCUUAUUACUAGUUGCCAGCAUUAAGUUGGGCACUCUAGUGAGACUGCCGGUGACAAACCGGAGGAAGGUGGGGACGACGUCAAAUCAUCAUGCCCCUUAUGACCUGGGCUACACACGUGCUACAAUGGAUGGUACAACGAGUCGCGAGACCGCGAGGUUAAGCUAAUCUCUUAAAACCAUUCUCAGUUCGGACUGUAGGCUGCAACUCGCCUACACGAAGUCGGAAUCGCUAGUAAUCGCGGAUCAGCAUGCCGCGGUGAAUACGUUCCCGGGCCUUGUACACACCGCCCGUCACACCAUGAGAGUUUGUAACACCCAAAGCCG